UACAGAGAUCUCAAGCGUUGUUCGGAUUCAUUGGGCGUAAAGGGUGCGUAGGUGGCGUCGUAAGUCGGGUGUGAAAUUUCGGAGCUUAACUCCGAAACUGCAUUCGAUACUGCGGUGCUUGAGGACUGGAGAGGAGACUGGAAUUUACGGUGUAGCAGUGAAAUGCGUAGAGAUCGUAAGGAAGACCAGUGGCGAAGGCGGGUCUCUGGACAGUUCCUGACACUGAGGCACGAAGGCCAGGGGAGCAAAACGGG
rnacentral:rRNA from 1 species